rnacentral:rRNA from 1 species
GGGGGAGGGGGGGGGGGGGCGUAGGGCGGGCAGGUCGAACGGAACGGCCGUGGUGUUGUGGGGGGCUCGAGGGGCGAACGGGGGAGGAAGACGUGAGUAACCUGCCCUUGACGUUGGGAUAACUUCAGGAACCUGGGGCUCAUACCGGAUAGGAGCUCCUGCUGCAUGGUGGGGGUUGGGAAGUUUCGGCGGUUGGGGAUGGACUCGCGGCUUAUCAGCUUGUUGGUGGGGUAGUGGCUUACCAAGGCGUUGACGGGUAGCCGGCCUGAGAGGGUUACCGGCCACAUUGGGACUGAGAUACGGCCCAGACUCCUACGGGAGGCAGCAGUGGGGAAUAUUGCACAAUGGGCGGAAGCCUGAUGCAGCAACGCCGCGUGCGGGAUGACGGCCUUCGGGUUGUAAACCGCUUUCGCCUGUGACGAAGCGUGAGUGACGGUAAUGGGUAAAGAAGCACCGGCUAACUACGUG